GGGGAGCAAAUAAAUAAAGAAGCACUUACUUCUGGCUUCAGUUUGGUGACGUGAUGACCACAGAGCUACAGGGAAGGAACAAAUUACAAGGAGGGGAAUCUGCUCCCGCCCUGGUGUUGCACCCACUGGCUGUCCACAGGACCCCCUCCAGCCUUGACUUCCCUCAGGAGGCCUGCAUACAUCCAACAAGAUGACUUAAGCUAGCAAAGUAGCUUAUGGACACACAAAACCUGAACCGAGGCUGAAAUUUGGGUACUCAUAUUUUGUUGGAUGCUCAAAUUCCCUCAAUCUCUCCUGGCCCACACCCACUAGUGGCUGUUCCAACUCACUGCUUUCCUAAUAACACUUGCAGUAACUUACAGUUUAUUUUGAGACACCAGGUCCAAACAAUUUUCUUUAAGCAACUACCCCAGUCUUGCUCUUUAAUUUAGGAAAUUUUCAUACCAUACUGUUUGAUCAAAGAAAUGAAUAGUUUUUAAAAGUUAAAAGUAGAUUUCUAAUACUUUUCAAUUUUGUGUUUCUGAUCUUCAUUAUAAUAUAAGUAAAAAUAAAGUUUAAAGACCAAACAUUUAUUCAUAUAAAUGCAUUAAACAGAACCCCUAACUCAUUGUCACUCAUUUGUUCUGGAAUGCAGAGAAUUUGUAAGUUUAAUACCAUAGUCUCAUACCAGCCGCUUGAGUUUCUCUUUUAUCAACCUAGAUCCCAGGGAUUGAAGAAAGCUGGAGGUUCAUGAGUUCAGUAGUACCCAAACUAGGCCAUGUAUCAGCAUCAUCCAUGAAGCUUUGUGUUAAUAAUAAUAAAAUUGGCUGGGUGCAGUGGCUCACGCCUAUAAUCCCAGCACUUUGGGAGGCAAAGGCAAGUGGAUUGCUUGAGCUCUGGAGUUCAAGAUCAGCCAGGGCAACACACCAAGACCCCAUCACUACAAAAAAUACAAAAAUUAGCCAGGCAUGGUGGCGUGUGCUUGCAGACCCACUACAGGCCUACCAGCUACUUGGGAGGCUGAGGCAGGAGAAUCACUUGAGCCUGGGUGGUGGAGGCUUCAGUGAGCCCAGACUGUGCCACUGUACUCCAGCCUGGGUACUAGAGUGAGACCCUGUCUCAAAAAACAAACAAACAAACAAACAAAUAAUAAGAGUUAACGCUUACUGAUAUUUACCAGGGACUACACUAUGUACAUGAAUCAUCUAAUUUAAGCCUCAGAAAACCUUAUGCAGGACAGAUUUACUACUUUACUAUCCUCAUGUGCAGGUGAGAAAAAUGAAGCACGCAGAAAUUCAAACGCUGUCUAGGAUCACCAGCUAGAACACAGCGGAGCCAAGAUCCAAUCCUGCUGUCUGCCUCCAGAGCCACCCUUGACCUACCCUGCCUCCCAGGCCGCGUCCCCGCCGAGGUAGCCAGCUGUGACUUCCCUUUAUCUCCGGCUAAGCUGCUUGUUGGAAAAGAAAGCACUUUCUCACCUACUGGUGCCCCCUUUCAUCCCCAACCCUGCCCCGGGGCAACACAGAGCGAGUCUGAUGGGUCUCCACAGAGGGGCUUCAGAUGCCUGAUGGUCGUGGUAGCCCCCUGAGCCUGCCUUCAUCCAGCCUAAAUGUCCUCUGUUGCUUUGGUUUGCCUCAGGCCCAAAGACAUCUCAUUUUGGCCACUGCACCAGUCAGUGGCCACAGCGCCCCCUGGUGAACAAGUCUGCAAGAUUCCUGGUUAGGCUCAAAUAAUAGGUGUAAACAACAGGGGCACAAUGGUGACACUGCAAGUCCCAACAUCCCUCCAGUCAGCAAUUGAACAAUUACCCAGCCACCUGACCUCCCUGCCUCUAACCUCCCCAUCCCUCCUGACAUCAAUUCACUGAAGCCAGAGUAAACUAUGGAAGGCUUUAAUCUAACUCAGACACUUUUCUCUUUUAAACAAACCAAAAUCUGACUCACCCCUGCAAGGGCUCCCGUCACCUACAGGGUCCAGCCCAGGCACUCAGGGAGCCCUGGGAUCUGGCCCCACCCACCUCUCGGCUGCCUGCCUCCCACUGUGCUCCCUCACACUCUGUGGCCGCCUGGAGUGGCAGCGGUCCCUCUUCACUGGCAGCAGCAAGUCUGUGACCAACCCCUCCUGCUCGGAGCUCCCCAGUUCCCCCACUGUCCAACCAUUAUUGGUUUUCAUGAAGGUCCCUGAGGGCCAAGACUGAGCUUUUGGCCCCAGAGCCACGUGGUAUCUGGCAAUAUGGGUAGUAGGUACUGAGAAGGUUUGCUGAAUAAGUGUGAAUAAAUAAACGAUGCGGUGCUUUCACCACUUGCUAAAGAAAACUUAAAGUGAUAAAGGUUGUGUUGUUUUCACUGUAGUGUAUUUAAAGUAGAGCAAAGAUUUAAUAUGGUGAAGCAUUUUCUUUUUGCAUUGGUUAAAACAGGACUGUAAAGUGAGAUGCAUGCAGUGCACAGCUCUGAAGCCCGACAGCUCAGUGAAGCUUUACACACGUUAGCACGCAGACCAGGGCACAGUAACUGCCUGCACCCCAGGGGGUUCCCUGCUCCACUCCCACCCUCGCCAAGUCAAUCAGAGGAGGAUUUUCAAUAUGCCAUGCAGUUUUAUCUCAACACUACCAACAAUCACUAGCCCCAACCUUCUCAUGUUAUUAAAAUAAUAAUAACUAAUGAGAAACAAUAGGAGCUUCCUCUUAGAGCAAACUACUGGAGCACAGCCAUCUUGUUCAGAGAGACGCCGAAAGCUUCCUCUCCUCUCAGCUCCUCUUUAGUGCUCCUUGGCAGGUCAACCUGACACCGGGGGCUGCCUAUUUACCUGCAUGUCAGAGUUGGUGAAGCUGCAGGCCGACAGGUAGUUGGUGUGCAUAGCAACAGACUUCUUUUUGGCAGCCAUGUUUUCAUUUUUGUCAAACGUCAAGGGGUACACAGAACACUUAUUAUCCAAACCACUAGGAUGGAAAGAAAGAAGUACCAAAGAUUAAUGCAGAGUCACAGAAUAUGUGUCUACUUUUCCAAUCACAUGAACUUUUCAACAUAUUCUCUUUAGCAGUAUCAUAUAUUGUACCCUUUCCUCCAACUUUUACUUUGAAGAUUUUCUUUUCUUUCUUUCUUUUUUUUUUUUUAAAUAGAGACAGGGUCUUGCUCUGUUGGCCAGGUUGGUCUUGAACUCUUGGCCUCGAACUCGUGGCCUCAAGCAAUCCUCCUUUGGCCUCCCAAAGUGCUAGGAUUACAGGUGUAAGCCACUGUGCCUGGCCAGUUUGAAGAUUUUCAAACCUACUGUAAAACUGAAAAAAAAAAUAGUAUACUGAACACCCAGAUCCCUUCCCUUAGAUUCACAGACUUAACAUUUUGUCAUAUCUACAGGAGCAAAUUCUGAACCAUUUGACUGCAAACUGCAGAUAUGACAUUUUCCUUCUAAACACUUCCACUUGCAAAUUUACAUCUCCUAAAAAUAAGAACAUUCUCCUGUCUAUCUACCACAUCCUUAUCACAUUUGAGAAAAUCAACAAAACCUCCAUAACACCAUUUAAUAAGCCAGCCAUAUUCAAUCUUCCCUGAUUGUCGCCAGGAUCCAGGGACCAACCAAGGCUCACAUAUUGCAUUCAUUUGUUAUGUCUUUUUAAGAUCUUUUAACCUAGAACAGACACUACCUACUGUUUGUUGUUCAUGACAGGAAAUCUUAGAUUGGCUGUUUAUAGAAUGUCGCAUAUGGUGGAUUUGUCAGAUGGUUUCUUAAUGGUUAAAGUACUGUAGAACAUUUUGCCAAUAAGAGUAUCAAGGUGCUACUGUGUACUUCUUUCUUAUUGCUUCAUGUCACAAGGCUUGUAAUGUCUCUUCCAAGAUUGGUAAAGCCAACUUUGAUUACUUGGUUAAGGUGGACCACUAGAUAUCUCCAGGGUAAAGGUAAUUUGUUUGUAAUCAGUAAUAAUCUGUGGUGUGAUAUUUUGAGACCAUAAAAAUAUCAUUUUCUCCAACCACCUUUCAUACAAAGGCUUUACAUGAUUAUCCUUGCUUGAAUCAGAUAUUACUUUAGGGGUGCAAAAGGGUGAUUUAUUUUGAUAAUGUCUUCCGUAUUUAUUAGCUGGUGUUUUUCUGUAAUGAAAAAUCCUCCUUCCCAGUAUCACUGUACACCCAUAAAUUUGUUUUUUUUUCUUAAUUGUAUCAUGAUCCAUUAUUAUCAUUACUACAUUUGAUGCUCAAAUUACCCCAAAUUUGGGGCCUCUUCAAGCCAGCUGUGUUUUUUUUUUUAAUAUAUGUAUGACCCCUAUUGGUCCUUGAACGUUCCUUUACUUUCUAGAACAAGAAAAUAUCCUAGCCUCACUUUAUUCUUUUCCUCCCAAAGACCUAACCUCAGCCUUACCCUAAGGUGCCCUGCUUUCUUUUUGUAGGGAACAAUAUUUAAAAUGGGGUCACUUUUUUCUGAGGCACUGGGAAAGCCAAGGGUCCCUUCUGCUUUUCCAGCUGCUUGGGAGGUACACAGGUGUAUUCUUGGGUAGUUUCUUAUCAGUAAUUAGCUUUGGCAAACUUGUUUAUACAAUGUGCGGAGGAGGCUGGGCACGGUGGCUCACAUCUGUAAUCCUAGCACUUUGGGAGGCCCAGGCAGGCCAAUCACCUGAGGUCAGGAGUUCAAGACCAGCCUGGCC
rnacentral:lncRNA from 1 species